ACAGAGAAGCGGCGAAUGAAAAGGAACGAGAGCCUCAUCCCUAGAUGUCCUUGUUCUAAGUGGCAGCAGUAUCCUUCGCCUCACGGCCCUGCUACCUUCGUGUGGAACACUUCUGGUGCUCUAAAGAUACCAAAAGGUUUUAAUUACGAUUAAGCGAUGUCAUUUCUACAAUUUCUAGCUGUAAAUAAACAGCCUGUUUUGGAUAAUGGAGAUCCCAAAGCCCAUUAAACGCAAGGUGGACUCUGAGUGCACAGGACUCUCUGUUGGGUCGACACAAUGCAUUACUUACUGGAAAGCUGUACCCGGCAAUCUUCAAGCUGUCCUAACAGAAAAAGACUAUUCAUGAAGUAGAGAAGAGAGUUUCUGAACACAUUUUCAUGGUUAAAAUGCCAAAUCCAGAGGCUACCUGUACAACAAAGUAUUGCACGUGUGUAUCACUUUAAAGACCUGCCUAACCUCCUUCUCCAGAACAGAACCAUUAACUCUUUUUUUAAGCCAAUAAUCAAUGAGUGUCUAAUUUGUUACAUUGACAUUUUUGCUGGUUUCAUCUGAACGAAUUAAUUAAAAGCAGAAUGUUUUCUUUCCAGGCAGAAGAGUGGGGGGUCUCAGCAGCCAGAUAAGUUUUGACCUUUGUUGAGAAAACAUUUUAAUGAGGUAAAGCUGCAGAACCCAUUGAUCGAAGAUCUAGUGUCUGCUCUGACACGUCUGAUGGGCCCUGGAAUACAUUAGCUGGGGCUUCCGGGGGAUCUCAGAGCAGUGGCCUAGCCCAGUGGUCUGCAGGGCAAAUGGGAAGUGGCCAAAAUGGGGAGAAGAGGAGUUAAAAACAGAACAGCCGCCACCCUGGGUCCUCUCUCCUGGCUCUGAGGCAUCCGCCUGUCUUAAUCUGUACAGCUGCAGCUUGUCCAGGAGUCCCUGGGACCUGCACUCUGUUAAUUGAAGUGCAUUUGGAUCAAGGCUUUCUCAGUGUGAAGUGCAGCUUUCCUUUAUGAAGCAUCAUCUCUAAUGCACCUACUGUUGAUGUUAGCAUGAGAUAGGCACAUAGUGAAAAGAAGAGAACAGAAAUACUAUCAAGGUACACCUAGAGGUACAGCACUCGCUUUAAUUGCUUCUGGAACUCUUCACCUGGGCCUUAUCAAUAUGGCUAAUUCUUCAAGAAAUGAGAACAUAGGUGAGCCCCGCUUGAGAAGUGUACUCAUUUAUUUCCCGCAAGAGAGGAUUGAGUUGUUUUCUUUUUGUUAUGAAGAUUGAUAAUAGCAAAUGGAUAAAGCCAGGGCUGCUCCUUAGCCACCCUUUGAUCUUCCUGCUGUCGGGUGGAUGCUAGCUGCCAUACUGGACCGGCAUGGCGU
rnacentral:lncRNA from 1 species